rnacentral:rRNA from 1 species
CCUCAGAUCAGACAAGA